GACGAACGCUGGCGGCGUGCUUAACACCUGCAAGUCGAACGAGUGGGAACGGGUGAGUAAUACGUGGGUAACCUCCCAUCAGAGGGGAUAACACUUGGAAACAGGUGCUAAACCGAUACUGAUGGAUGGACCCGCGGGGCAUAAGCUAGUUGGUGAGGUAACGGCUCACCAAGGCCACGAUGCAUAGCCGACCUGAGAGGUGGAUCAGCCACACGGGGACUGAGACACGGCCCAGACGCCUACGGGAGGCAGCAGUGGGGAAUAUUGCACAAGGGGCGCAAGCCGGAUGCAGCCAUGCCGCGUGUAUGAAGAAGGCCUUAGGGUUGUAAAGUACUUUCAGCGGGGAGGCGUUACCCGCAGAAGAAGCACCGGCUAACUCCGUGCCAGCAGCCGCGGUAAUUC
rnacentral:rRNA from 1 species